rnacentral:rRNA from 1 species
GCAUAUCAAUAAGCGGAGGAAAAGAAACCAACAGGGAUUGCCCCAGUAACGGCGAGUGAAGCGGCAACAGCUCAAAUUUGAAAUCUGGCUCUCGGGCCCGAGUUGUAAUUUGUAGAGGAUGCUUUUGGUGAGGUGCCUUCCGAGUUCCCUGGAACGGGACGCCAUAGAGGGUGAGAGCCCCGUCUGGUCGGACACCGAUCCUCUGUAAAGCUCCUUCGACGAGUCGAGUAGUUUGGGAAUGCUGCUCUAAAUGGGAGGUAUAUGUCUUCUAAAGCUAAAUACCGGCCAGAGACCGAUAGCGCACAAGUAGAGUGAUCGAAAGAUGAAAAGAACUUUGAAAAGAGAGUUAAAAAGUACGUGAAAUUGUUGAAAGGGAAGCGCUUGUGACCAGACUUGGGCUUGGUUGAUCAUCCAGGGUUCUCCCUGGUGCACUCUUCCGGCCCAGGCCAGCAUCAGUUCGCCCCGGGGGAAAAAGGCUUCGGGAAUGUGGCUCUCUCCGGGGAGUGUUAUAGCCCGUUGCGUAAUACCCUGUGGCGGACUGAGGUUCGCGCAUUCGCAAGGAUGCUGGCGUAAUGGUCAUCAGUGACCCGUCUUGAAACACGGACCAAGGAGUCGUCUUCGUAUGCGAGUGUUCGGGUGUCAAACCCCUACGCGAAAUGAAAGUGAACGCAGGUGAGAGCUUCGGCGCAUCAUCGACCGAUCCUGAUGUAUUCGGAUGGAUUUGAGUAAGAGCAUACGGGGCCGGACCCGAAAGAAGGUGAACUAUGCCUGUGUAGGGUGAAGCCAGAGGAAACUCUGGUGGAGGCUCGCAGCGGUUCUGACGUGCAAAUCGAUCGUCAAACAUGGGCAUGGGGCGAAAGACUAAUCG